GUGAGUAACGCGUGGGAACGUACCCUUCACUACGGAAUAGCUUCUGGAAACGGAAGGUAAUACCGUAUACGCCCUCCGGGGGAAAGAUUUAUCGGUGAAGGAUCGGCCCGCGUUAGAUUAGUUUGUUGGUGGGGUAAUGGCCUACCAAGACUACGAUCUAUAGCUGGUCUGAGAGGAUGAUCAGCCACACUGGGACUGAGACACGGCCCAGACUCCUACGGGAGGCAGCAGUGGGGAAUCUUGCACAAUGGGCGAAAGCCUGAUGCAGCCAUGCCGCGUGAAUGAUGAAGGCCUUAGGGUUGUAAAAUUCUUUCGCCAGGGAUGAUAAUGACAGUACCUGGUAAAGAAGCCCCGGCUAACUUCGUGCCAGCAGCCGCGGUAAUACGAAGGGGGCUAGCGUUGUUCGGAAUUACUGGGCGUAAAGCGCGCGUAGGCGGGCUAUUAAGCCAGAUGUGAAAGCCCGGAGCUCAACUCCGGAAUUGCAUUUGGAACUGGUAGCCUAGAGACCAGGAGAGGUUAGCGGAAUACCGAGUGUAGAGGUGAAAUUCGUAGAUAUUCGGUGGAACACCAGUGGCGAAGGCGGCUAACUGGACUGGUACUGACGCUGAGGCGCGAAAGUGUGGGGAGCAAACAGGAUUAGAUACCCUGGUAGUCCACACC
rnacentral:rRNA from 1 species